AAAAAUAUUAAAUAAUGAUCUGGUUUAUGUUUUUCAUAGGAUAGGCAUAAAGAAACAAAAAAAAUCACUUUCAAAUAUCAAACAACUUGCAAUGGUUUGUGUAAUGUUUAGUUCACCAACAUAGAGUUAAGAUCAAGUAGAAUUAACUGAAUAGUAUAAGAGAAGCAGCCAUCAGGGGCCACUAUAGUGGACUCAGCUAAUCUGAGUGUGUGUAUUUGAAUUUGUUCCAUCUUAAUUCUACAUAAGUAACCUUUCACCUGGCAGGAACACAAAUAAAUCUCAAUUUUAUUGAACCCAGUGUUAUAUAAGCAAUAAUAAAAGUAGUAGAAAUCAUCUUCCCAACCCUAGGAAAAAAAAUCAUAACCCAAUUAGAAAGAGGAAUAUAAGAAACAGACAAUAAUAUAAAAGUUGAUAUAAUUAGUUGAUAAAUAAUGUAGAAAAUAAAAUAACAAUUUUUUUAAGAAAAGCAAAAUACAGACUGAAAAAUGUGAGAAUAGAACAGAAAUGUGAAGAAUGAGAAUUAUGUAUGCAGUAAUAUUUAGAAUGUGGAAAGCUUUCCUUCUUCCCUUCCCUACACACAUUUCAGAAAAAAGUAAAUUUUAUUAGUAAAAAAUGAAAUUUUGUACUGAAAUUUAUAGAUUUUAGGACCUCAGGCAGGCUACAUUUAUUGAUUUGUGUAUUAGGGAGAUGGCAAAAGAGAAUCUAUUUUUCUUUAAGAAAUAGGAACACCCCUCUGGUUAGAGAUUCCUCAGAAUCUAGGUAUUUCCAUAUGUCUUCAUUUUGUUGUUGCUGUUAUUUAUUUAUUUAUUUGAUUUCUCUUGUUUUGAAUUGCUGUUAUUCACAUGAGCAUACCUUCCUCACUGUUUAAUGUUCUUAUUACUUGAGUUACACAGAGGGAAUCAAAGCUCAAUAUCUUGACUUAGGUUGAAGGUAAACAAGAGUAUCCAUCUACCUUUAUCACAUUCUGCAUGAGUUCACUCACCUUUACCAAUGGUAUCUGCAAAGGUCUUCAUCAAAUAAUACGUAAUUGAAAUUUGCUGCUGUUUUUCUGUAACUUCAUUUUCAUCCUCUAAGGAAUGAAUGGCAAGGACAAAGUUAGUUUCACAUCCUCCUUGCCCUUGCCAGGAGGCAUAUAGCCACAGCAGCAUAUAUACCAGAUUCUCUGUUCACAUACCCUGAGUGUUGGCUAUGCAGCUGUACCCAGUAUCCGGAGAAUAAGUAAAAUUUCUGGUUAUUAUUACCUCUCUCAGUUUCCUCUGGCACAGGCUGUUUUGUUUGUAUGUCUAUUCUAUGCAUUGCUAUGGUAAAACCCAAUGCUUGGAAUCCAUGAUGAUGAGAAAGAAAGACCUGGAUAAGGUAAUGAGAGGGCAAAAGACCAUUCUAUGCAGAUUUAGAGGAGCAGAAGAGAUUUGCUGGAGGUCUCAUUAAAAUUCAUUAAAAUGUUGACACAAAAUAGGAACCUUGAGAAAAUGUUAAAUAUCAGUUCUUAAGGAGAUGUAAAAUAUAUGUUAUUUAUGAUUGGGUUGAGGGGUGGAGGGGAAACUGAGAUGUGAAGGGAAUUAUAUUUAAGAAGACCUUUCUUUGCUUCAUGCCCUGUGCUACAUUAUGUUAUUUAAUUAAUAAAUAACAGUUACUGAAGUAGUGAUUGCUUUAAGCAAUGUAUGCACUUGGUUAGGGAAAUAUAACUUUGGGAACAUUGAAACAAGCAAGGUUUAAUUUAUUCUUCAGAAGUGCUGAGAAAAUGUGAAAGGAGCAGACAGCUAUCACAAGUGGGGUUCAGAGAGUCAUUCCAAUAAAGGGUUAGCUUUCAGUGAGUAAUGCAUAUUGGUUUUAGAGAAAACUAUAAAGGUGUUUUCAAAGAGAAUCUGUUUCUUUUUAAAGAGCCAGAUGGUAGGUGAUGGGUAGGAGGAAAUGAUGCUCAAGGAAUAGCAAGCAGAUUAGCCUAAGGGAUAGAGGAUUUGUGCUAGGCAUACUGAGUAUCAGGCUGAUUAUAAUGGCUACCUCAGUGGUACUCAGACUCUUUUUAAAAUUACAUUGUGUGAAACCCUCCUUAACUUACUGAAGCAGAACUUUUCCGGGCAAUUCACAAGAAUAGACACAGUUACAAUCACUGAGAUUGAUACUUCUGCAUUUUAUAGAUGACACUGACAAAUGGAAGGAUCCAGAGGGGAGAGCCAAUACAGAUCUAGGAAAUGUUAUACCCAGGACUUUACUAGCACCUUAGGAUACUGAGCCUGAAGCAGAAAAUACUGUAGAGGGAUUUCUUAAGUGGACAUCACACACCUAGAAAAUGUCAUGUGGGAAGGUAUGAGGAGGGUUACUCCUGAAGCCUAAACACACAGAAAAUUUAAAGAGGCUUUUAUUUCUUGUCCUAAACAAAGUGAUUGAAGUGUUGUCUAUUUAGUACGAAUAAACCAUCAUAAAGGGAAGAAGGAGCUGAACCAUGGAAACAGAGGUCAAAAUUGCCUAUUGAGUUGCUAUUUUCAAUUCAAUUUUCCAUUGCUAAGAGUUUAAAAACGUCCAUCACAAGACCAAAUGUUAUUGCUUACUACAUCAACAGGCAGGGAGAAAAUUCUAUAAGCUUACUUGUCUUUUUCUUAAGAUGGGGUGUUCUAAUAUUUUUAUGAUGUUGUAAUAUUAUAACAUCAUACCUGGCUGGGCUUAAGAGGCAGCAACACAAAAGAAAAAAAAAAGGUAACUUGAUACAUGAUGAACUUAAAUAUCUUUAAUAGCAAUAACCAAAAUUUAAUUAAUACAUUUGACAUCUAAAAAGACUUCCCAUUAUAUAUCAUUAUUUUAGGGCCAUUCAAUGCAAAUAUUUGUGUUAUGGUGAAUACAUUAAGCAUAAUUUUCAGUUUAACUGUUUUUAAAUAAACAAUUCAGUGACUUUGAGUAUAUUCAUGAUGUUAUGCAACCAUCCUCCACUAUCUCAUUCUAAAAUAUUUUUAUCGUAACCAAAAAGAAUCCUGUUAAUGUUAAGCAGCUAAUUCUAUUCCUUCCCUCCCACUGCCUUUUGAAAACACUAACCAGUCUAAUGUGUUUUCAUAGUUAUUAGUCUUGAUAUAUCAUAUUCAAUACUUGGUAUAUAAUUCAAUGCUGAAUUAUACAACAUGUGGCCUUUUGUGUCUGGCUUCUUCACUUAGCAUAAUGUAUUCAAGGCUCAUCUACAUUGUAGAUUGUAUUGGUAGAGUUGAUUUCAUUUUAUGGAUGAAUAAUAUUUUUUUGCAUGUAUAUAACUCAUUUCAUUUAUCCAUCCAUCUGGUGAUGGACAUUUAAUUGUUUUUGUGAAGAGUGCUGCUAUGAAUGUUCAUGCACAAAUUUUUGCUUGAAUGCCAGAUUCCCAUUCCUUUGAGAAUAUACCUACAAGCAGGGUUACUGCGCAAUAUGGUGUGUUAGUCUGCUUCUCAUCACAGUGACAAAAUGCCUGAGAUUAAGCAAUUUACAAGGACCAAAUAUUUAUUUAGGCUCACAGUUGGAGAGGUUUCCGUCCAUGGUCAAGCCAGCUCCAUUGUUUUAAUUUAAAGCUAAGACAAGGCAGAACAUUAUGAUGGAA
rnacentral:lncRNA from 1 species